GUUUUUGGCAUUUCUUCUUGGCUACUGGCAUCAGUCUCCUUGUCAUCAAAAGCCUCAUUUUGAACAAAUCCGUUGUUCUCCACACCUCUCUUGUCGCUCAGCUCCAUAGGAUUCCCAGCUAGAGCAUUGUGUCCAAGAGGAGCAGCCACCAGCCUGCUUGUUCCAAGUCUUUCCUACCUGGCUAACGGGGACAGCCUCCCUGCGUUUGUAUUCAUCCUGGGAGACAACUGCAUGACAAAACAGCAGAGCGUUAAGUGACACCUAAUCAGGUUUUAGCGCUUCUUUUUCCUUUCUCCAUUUCUCUCUAACUGUAUGACAAGACACAUGAUCCCGCAGAGCCAAGGCCAGCCGUGCGGUCAUUUUGUUUGGUACCACGUUGUGACCAUGUCACACACAGCUUGCUGCAAGUCACAGUCAGCGUCUCUUUGGAAGAACGCAGCCCGAGGUCAAGGAUCCUCGUGUUUACCACUUUGCAGCAUGGGCACAGGACGAGAGAAGCUGGGUGCCAGAGCAUUUACAUACCAGAGAUGCAGAUCUGCACUUCUGCCAGUCCCAGAAAACAUCUUUGGCACAUCAGCAGGACACAGACAUGUAGUUUAUGACAACAAAUAGCUGCUCAAUAGGCAAUGCUACAUGACCGUGACUUAAGAUGCAGUUUUGUGUCUAAUUCACCAGCAUUUAAUGCUAAUUUAAUCAACUCUUAUCCCUGACUGCUUGUUCCUGCCUUGCAUUGCCCCCUGCCUUGCGUCAGGUGAAGUGUUUAGGCAGCUGCGCAGUGAACCAGAUUGGGAAACAGAUUUGGCUGAAAAAAAAAAAAAAUACUAAUUUCAUUCUUCAGACAGCUCUCCAAUCCGCCUGGUGCCCAUGAGACCACACGAAUGCGUCUGCCAGCCCAGCACAGGGAGGAGGAGGAGGAGGAGAGGCAGGGAGAGGGUCCAGGACACAAAGCACAACUCCCCGACUGAGCAACUCUUCAGUCAAAUCACGGUCUUCGUGGCUGCGUUUGUUACAGGACGUUGCUGUCUGUCCCCUACAGAAAGUCAGGGAGUGGAAAGCAGUGAAGUCUUACACCCACAAACGCUGCUGGAAUCAAAGAUGGGGAGAGGGUUUAAAUUCCGUUAAUGGCUUACCCACAUUAAAACUGCCACGGAUCAGGGACCUACCCCCACUUCACCCAAGUCCUACGACACUGCUACCCCAAAACACUGUUGAAGUGCUGGGUCCAACCAGACUUCAAUCAUAUUUCAGAUCAACUCCACCUUGUCACGUAAGAAGAGCUGCAGCACAAGCAGGUACCAGCGGAGCACAGGGACACCUAAACUGGACAUCUGGACCUUAAAUGCUAAAAAUUUUCUAGAAAACCUGGCAGGAAAAUACAGCCAAGGAGCUUAAAACAGAUCUGGACGAUAACGUACCACAGACCCUGGAAAACAAGCCCAAGAAUCUGGUACCUCCUCCUAUAUGUUUUUUCCUCAUAGACUAAAAAUAAAACCACACAGGUAUUUUGCUUUUAUUACAGACCUCCCCCCCCACCUCCACUUGAGGAGUUGCUCGCCUUGAAAUUAUUUGAUAAAGGGAAACCAUAAACUUCAUCUUAAGAGAGGCAGAUCACCAACAAUUCCCGCUGAGCUUUAACUUUUUCCUUUUAAAAUAUAUUUUAUGUAUGCAGGCAUUAUGCUCCUGGCUUGCUCUCAAGCAAUUCUGAAACGGUUCCCCCCUGAGCAAUUUUAUAGUUUAGCAGGAGUAACUAGCCAGUGCAACUGCGCUAGCGGAAUCCACUGAAAAGCAUUAAAUAGUAAAGAAAACACUUCACAUUCUGUGCCAGUUAUUCUGUUUACCUCAGGGUUAGAUAGGGAAACAAAACCAAUCGGUAUGUGGGCAGUAAUAGCUGCUAUCUCCACACAGAUUGCCAUGGUUAUUUCCGUAAGAUGGAGGGGUUAAUUUCCACAAGUAUUUCUUAUAUAUAAUUAUUUAGAUGCACGGGCUGACUAAGUAGUCUGCUGUUUGAGGCUAUACAAAUGCCAAGUAGCUUGCCAGUUAUUUGAUACCAUACAUAUUACACCAAAAACCACACAGAGGGGCGAUUAAGCACCCUAACGUGCUAAGUGUAGGAAGACGUUUAUUGUUAAAAAGUUCUCUUGCUUAAUGCUUUUUCAUUAAAUGGUUUGUUACCACUGGAACUGGUCUGACAUAAUGCACUUCACCUCUAAAUAUAACCUCAUUAUUUACAGAAUCGGGGCCAGCUUUACGCCCAUGUAAAGAGGCAAACACUGCGGCUGUCAGUUUUCCCUCAGUGGCUCCCACAAGACUGAUGGAUAAACUGACCUUUAAAGCUACGUUUCAUUCAGCACUAAAAGUCCUCCCUUGACGGUGGUGGGCAGCCGUCAGGAGAGAGAUGCUCUUGAGGAACAAGUUUCUGAGAUGGUAUCUUCUACCCAGGAGAUCCCUGAGUGCGCGUGAGGUUUCUGCCAGCAGCCUCGAGUCCUGGGAGCGUGGCAAAAUACAAUUGCAUGGGACACCGUGAUGUGGUUUGUUGGGGUUUUAUUGUUGUUUUUUGUUUGUUUGUUUGUUUGUUUUUAAGGUUAAUGGCAUUAUAAACGUUGUAAUUAGCCCCAGCUUUGCUCACGUGACAUUUCAGGGGUAGGUUUCACGGGAAGGAAGCACUGGGCCCCUGCCCGCCAUGGGUCACCAGCAUCGCUGGCUUCUCCCACUAUUAUUAAUGAAAAGAACUAUCCUUCAAUUCUUGCUGUUAGCACAGCUGCAAGAACAGCAGCACACAGACCUGACUCCUCCUGGAUG